CAUUUCAUCUUCAAAUUUAAAGAACUACUAUUCAUUGCUAUUGGUAUUAUUUUAUUAGCAAAAUCAUAUCUUUCGCCCGCAUUCUCUUUGUUUUCUCUCCCUUACUCUUACUCUGCUUUUCUUCCUCUCCCAAGUUCCCAACAGCCCGAAAUCUCAUUUCUCUUCCUCUCCAUUUAUCCUCGAUUCUCAGAUUCUCUUUCUUCCUCUUUGUUUCCUCUUCCUUUUUUUUGCCAAGCUAUCCAUUCCCUUUGUCGUGAGGUUUAAUUGCUGAAGAAUCAAACCUCUGGUACGUAUGGUCCCAAUCGAUUUUAACUACCGAAGCCAUCUCGGUUGUCGUUGAAAAUGACCUCGGUGGCAGUGAGGUUGCGAACGCAGCAUUGUUAUGCCCCAUGGAAUAAACUGAGAAAUUCAUGAGGAGAAUCAUCGCGUACACAUCAGAGUGGGAGUACGAGAAAAGACCUGUUGAAAUAGCCAUACGAACGAAGGGUGCAUCUCUCUCUAAGCCCGAGCGAAAAUCCCCUAUAGAAGGAAGUUGAUUAUGUGAAGCAUUUAUGGAAGAACAGGCAAGAGCUGAAGGUUGAAAAUGCUGGAUCAGGUAAGUUAGCAGAAAAGGUUGCCCCACCAGUUGAAAACGAAAACCAAGAGUAAUUGAACAUAUUGGUGCUUAUGUAGACAUACAAGGUUUUCUAGUUUACUGCAAUACUCAGGUCUUUUAGAUCAAGUGGUUUUCCAUCAGCUUGAUGUGUCUGACCCUGCUAGCAUUACUUCUUUCGUAGAUUUCAUCAAAACCCAGUACGGGAAACUUGAUAUCUUAGUAUAUAUGAUUCAAAACUGAUUUCUUUAUCUAA